ACUAAGGGCCUUGUCCCUUAUGAAGGGUAGUCCUUGGGUAGGACCUAUAGGGCAGGCCUAUGACCCUACCCUAGGACUAUAACCCCAUCACCGGUACCCGUACAAAUUGCUCGGGGCAAUCUCCACAACCUAAUUGGAGACCCCUACGCUUGCUCGGAGCUUUACACCACAAUAAUUGAGCUUCGAGACAACACCAAGCUUCUAGGACGCCAAAGCAUCCACGAAGAACAAUAUCUAGGGUACUAAGUACCAAAGGUAAUAA
rnacentral:lncRNA from 1 species